UACGAAGGGGGCUAGCGUUGCUCGGAAUCACUGGGCGUAAAGGGUGCGUAGGCGGGUCUUUAAGUCAGGGGUGAAAUCCUGGAGCUCAACUCCAGAACUGCCUUGAUACUGAAGAUCUUGAGUUCGGGAGAGGUGAGUGGAACUGCGAGUGUAGAGGUGAAAUUCGUAGAUAUUCGCAAGAACACCAGUGGCGAAGGCGGCUCACUGGCCCGAUACUGACGCUGAGGCACGAAAGCGUGGGGAGCAAACAGGAUAGAAC
rnacentral:rRNA from 1 species